ensembl:rRNA 5S_rRNA 5S ribosomal RNA
UCUGGCAGCCAUAUCACCCUGUAGCCCAAGCUUGGUUGCCCACUGAAGCUAAGCAGGGCUGCGCCUGGUCAGUACCUGAAUGGGAGACCUCCUGGGAAAACUAGGUUGCUGCUGGAA